AUGCAGUCGAACGAACUUAACCAUUAGUUUACUAUUGGAGCGGUUAGUGGCGGACUGGUGAGUAACACGUAAGCAACCUGCCUAUCAGAGGGGAACAACAGUUAGAAAUGACUGCUAAUACCGCAUAUGCCUUAGAAUCACAUGGUUCAAAAGGGAAAGGAGCAAUCCGCUGAUAGAUGGGCUUGCGUCUGAUUAGCUAGUUGGUGGGGUAAUGGCCUACCAAGGCGACGAUCAGUAGCCGAACUGAGAGGUUGAACGGCCACAUUGGGACUGAGAUACGGCCCAGACUCCUACGGGAGGCAGCAGUCGGGGAUAUUGCGCAAUGGAGGAAACUCUGACGCAGUGACGCCGCGUGCAGGAAGAAGGUUUUCGGAUUGUAAACUGCUUUAGACAGGGAAGAACAAAGACAGUACCUGUAGAAUAAGCUCCGGCUAACUACGUGCCAGCAGCCGCGGUAAUACGUAGGGAGCGAGCGUUAUCCGGAUUUAUUGGGUGUAAAGGGUGCGUAGACGGGAAGUCAAGUUAGUUGUGAAAUCCCUCGGCUUAACUGAGGAACUGCAACUAAAACUGAUUUUCUUGAGUACUGGAGAGGAAAGUGGAAUUCCUAGUGUAGCGGUGAAAUGCGUAGAUAUUAGGAGGAACACCGGUGGCGAAGGCGACUUUCUGGACAGAAACUGACGUUGAGGCACGAAAGUGUGGGGAGCAAACAGGAUUAGAUACCCUGGUAGUCCACACCGUAAACGAUGGAUACUAGGUGUAGGGGAUAUUAAAAUUCUCUGUGCCGCCGCUAACGCAAUAAGUAUCCCACCUGGGGAGUACGGCCGCAAGGUUGA
rnacentral:rRNA from 1 species